rnacentral:lncRNA from 1 species
AUUGGAGCUUCGAGUGAAUUUUUCAUAGAGACCGGAUGCAUGUGCAGCUACAAGCAACCAGCAAGGAUCUCCUUCACCAUGUCUCUCAAUAGCAGUGAUUAUCGAUCCAUGCAAAGGUAUCGAUUUUUGAACUCAGAUUAGAAGUAGAUGUGGUCUACUGCUCAUAUGCAUGCAUGCUGAUUUUAUCUUCAGUAUUUUUUAGAUUUUUUAUGCAAC